CGACAACAAUUUCCCAAGCAAAUCCAAUUCGAAUUUGUAGAACUGAGUUCAGACUAAACAACUGGAUUCAGCCAAAAAAAAAAGUUUUCCGUUAGCUAAUGUUUACCGGAGCUCGACAGUUCGUAACCUCAUUAUCUCACAGAAUAAGACUUGAAUCUCACCAGCUUACAACUUCAUCUCCUCAGCUCGUAAGCAAGCUCUCGGAAUCUGUUUCAGGUCUCGAACAAACUCCAAAAAAUAUAAAGCUUUAGCUCGACAUCCCGCACCUAGCUCUCACGCUCCGUCUUAUGUCGAAGAUCUAGUUCCCAGUUUUAAGCUAAGGUGACACACUUCAACAGUUUAUCCGUAAAGAAACUCUGAAGCUUUAUUUCAAUUCAGAAAUUAGCUCAGAGCUCGGAUUACAGCACUUUGGACUCUUAUCCUACCUUGAGAACAAGCUCUUAGAUUCCGACUCGAUUGGAAUCUUUGGGAACAAGUUCCCAAACUACAUCCAAACUUUCUAGAUCACAGAUCUCACUUAAUACCAAAAAUAAUCUUAAGAACAAAUUCUCUAGCUCUAGAGAAUGAGUUAUUUGAGGUUGGUAGCGACAGUGCCUCCUACGGCAAAAAAUGAUUUAACAUCAUAUUCAAAGAAUCCAGGUUUCGAGGUCUUAGACUAGAUCAGUCAUCUCACCUCCGCCUGUUAUUACGAAUCUGUGAGCUUGCACGUAUUUUCGGUGGGCGGUAGAGCCAUACCCCAAUCACAGAUUGCGAAAUGCUAAAAUUUAGCGCGACUUAAAACGUCAAAAGCUUAAAAUGCGUAUUUUAUCUUAUCACAGCACAAACAAGCUCUGGAGAUUCGUUUCAGCUUAUGAACGAACUCAAACGUCAUGGGUCAGCUCAACAACCCGCAAUCAGCUCCCAAGCUGUGUUUCAUGCGGAGAUCUAACUCUCCGUUUUCACUUUAACUUAUCGGUUUGCAGAGAAGCUCUCAAACUCUGUUUUAAGCUUAAGUAAUAUACUUGACCAGCCAGUUCGUAGACAAGCCAUUUCAUUUCAGAAAGAGCUCCCAGCUCACACCUCGGUUCGUCAGCUCGAUUACAAACUAUGUAUCAGCUAAAGGAUCUCGAAUACCCAAACUCCGCUCGAGAACAGAUCCUAAAAUUUUUGUUUGGCUCGAGAAAAAUACUUAAACUCCCUUGAAUUUUAAAGCGAGUGUGAUUCAAACCGUCUAUGAAAACAAAUCGAGACCCCGUAUCAGUUUACAAACAAUUGUUAUGUCUUGACCAGAUUUAAAAGCUUACCUUUUAUGGUGGUCUUUUGAGGUAGGCAUUGGCACCGCCUCCUGCACUUAAUAGACUUCGCUUUUGCGACAGAUCGACAGUCAUUCGCCACAAAACAAACAGACUUCAUCCAGAGAAGCUCUCAAACGAUGUUCAAACCUUCCAGCUCAUACAUGCCAGUUAAACCCAUUACUUAUCUCGAGAACAAUUCUCAAGCUCCAGAAGAUAAGUAAUUUGAGGUCGGCAGUGACAGCACCUCUCAAGCUGGAAAGAGAAUUUCUUCGUCUUCAAAGAACUUAGCAUUUGCGUUUGUUCGACGAAGUCGGUUAUUACACCUCCGCAUGUUCCUAAGAAUCUGCGUGCUUACACGCAUUUUCGGUGGGCGGUAGGGCCAUACCCCAAUCAUAGAUUGCGAAAUGCUAUACGUUAGCGCAUCUUGAUCUAUCCGAUCAAAGAAAAAAAAGAAAAUCAAAGCUAACUCUACCUAGCUCGUAUCUGUUUUAGAUAUUCAAUACCUAUCGAAACAGGAAUCACCAAAAUCAAAAUAAUCACAAAGAUCCAAUAAAACAAAAAACGGAGCUGGGAGUAGGCAUCGUCCACUUGCCAUAAGCCGCCACCAACUAUUCUCCCUUAUGGAUGAUUUCUUCGAGUUAAUACACUCGCGAAUCCAAAUAUCAGGAAGAAGACAAAAUUUCAACUAACCUUGGAAUCUUCCACGAAAGAAAAUGUUGUUCGUAACUCAACCAGUACAAGACAAAAUUCGUCUCCAGACCUACGAUCAGUUCAGUCCGUGAUCAAACUCCAUCAAAAACUCGAUAUAAGAUCAAACUCGAUCUGCUAUCAAGGGACUAAUAAAGAAUUUCAUAGAAGACCUGGUACAAGGUAAUCAAAGAUUAACUUUAACCCCAGGUCACGUCUGCCCGCAAAAAUCCCACGACAUUCCCAAUCGCGGUCAUGACAACUCCCCCAUAGUCAUCCAUAUUUCACAGUCUGGGUCAUUCGAGACUGAUAAGAUAUGAUUUAGUCUGUCAAAUAUUUAGUUUCCUUUU
rnacentral:lncRNA from 1 species